GGAGAGGCUGGGCAGAUGGCGGCGGUUCCUGGACGAAGCAGUGGUUCCGUGCCAGCCUCUGUUGCAGGAAGGGAGGCCAUGCUAGGCACAGGCACAGGAGAUGUGGUUGCUUGGAAGGCUUCUCCAUUAGCUUGGCUGCAUAAAGUUUUGAAGCCCUUGGAGUCUCCUGCAGAUGGGUCUGCAGGGAGGACUUUUCCUGUUCCUUUGCUGAUUCCUGCACAGAAGCCUGGCUCCCAUGGCAGGGGUCCCCUGAGAGGGAAGAACAAAGGCAAAGGACAGAAGAAACCCCACGAGCCAAAAAACACCCUGAAACAAAUCGGUACAGAACUGCACAAAGGGCAUGGUGAGAG